rnacentral:RNase_P_RNA from 1 species
GGAGCCGGUCAGACAACCGCCGCCGUGAUGUACACGGGGGAGGAAAGUCCGGGCUCCGCAGGGCAGUGUGCCAGUUAACGGCUGGGCGGCGCGAGCCGACGGAAAGUGCAACAGAGAGCAAACCGCCGAUGGCCCCGCAAGGGGAUCAGGCAAGGGUGAAACGGUGCGGUAAGAGCGCACCGCGAGUCUGGCAACAGACCGGCACGGCAAACCCCACACGGAGCAAGGCCAAAUAGGGAAGGAGCUGCCGCAAGGCAGCAGGCGUGGCCCACGUCCCUUCCGGGUAGGCUGCUGGAACCCA